AGAUCACUAGUGAGAAUGAUGACAUGAGUAGCGACAAACAGGGUGAGAGACCCUGUCGCCGAAAGUCCAAGGGUUCCUGCUUAAAGCUAAUCUGAGCAGGGUAAGCCGACCCCUAAGGCGAGGCCGAAAGGCGUAGUCGAUGGGAACCAGGUUAAUAUUCCUGGGCCAGGAGGAUGUGACGGAUCCCGAGGGUAGUUUCUUCUUAUCGGAUUGAAGAGGCUGCUUAGGGGUUCCUGGAAAUAGCCCUCCAUUAGAUCGUACCCUAAACCGACACAGGUGGACUGGUAGAGAAUACCAAGGCGCUUGAGAGAACUAUGUUGAAGGAACUCGGCAAAAUACCUCCGUAAGUUCGCGAGAAGGCCCCGGUUUCUACGAAAGUAUUGACUGGGGGCACAAACUAGGGGGUGGCGACUGUUUACUAAAAACACAGGGCUCUGCGAAGUCGCAAGACGACGUAUAGGGUCUGACGCCUGCCCGGUGCUGGAAGGUUAAAGGGAGGGGUGCAAGCUCUGAACUGAAGCCCCAGUAAACGGCGGCCGUAACCAUAACGGUCCUAAGGUAGCGAAAUUCCUUGUCGGGUAAGUUCCGACCUGCACGAAUGGCGUAACGACUUCCCCGCUGUCUCCAACAUAGACUCAGCGAAAUUGAAUUGCCUGUCAAGAUGCAGGCUUCCCGCGGUUAGACGGAAAGACCCCGUGCACCUUUACUACAGCUUCACACUGGCAUUAGGCCGAACAUGUGCAGGAUAGGUGGUGGGCUUUGAAGCAGGAACGCUAGUUUCUGUGGAGCCUCCCUUGAGAUACCACCCUUGUUCUGCUUGAUGUCUAACCGCGGUCCGUUAUCCGGAUCCGGGACCCUGUGUGGCGGGUAGUUUGACUGGGGCGGUCGCCUCCUAAAGCGUAACGGAGGCGCGCGAAGGUUGGCUCAGAGCGGUCGGAAAUCGCUCGUUGAGUGCAAUGGCAGAAGCCAGCCUGACUGCGAGACUGACAAGUCGAGCAGAGUCGAAAGACGGCCAUAGUGAUCCGGUGGUCCCAAGUGGAGGGCCAUCGCUCAACGGAUAAAAGGUACGCCGGGGAUAACAGGCUGAUACUGCCCAAGAGUCCAUAUCGACGGCAGUGUUUGGCACCUCGAUGUCGGCUCAUCUCAUCCUGGGGCUGGAGCAGGCCCCAAGGGUACGGCUGUUCGCCGUUUAAAGAGGUACGUGAGCUGGGUUUAGAACGUCGUGAGACAGUUCGGUCCCUAUCUGCCGUGGGUGUAGGAUACUUGAGAGGAGUUGCCCCUAGUACGAGAGGACCGGGGUGAACGAACCACUGGUGGACCAGUUGUCGUGCCAACGGCAGUGCUGGGUAGCUAUGUUCGGACAGGAUAACCGCUGAAGGCAUCUAAGCGGGAAGCCCCCCUAAAAACAAGGUAUCCCUGAGAGCCGUGGUAGACCACCACGUCGAUAGGCCAGAGAUGUAAGCGCAGCAAUGCGUUCAGUUGACUGGUACUAACUGCUCU
rnacentral:rRNA from 1 species